AUGAACGUGCCUGACCAAAUGCUCUGGAGGUGGACGGCCAACGACACUUGCACGGUGCAGUCCUGCUACGCUGCGACCUUUCAUGGAUCCGCAAGAUGCCCCUCAUGGAAGCUGACAUGGAAGAGCUGGGCACCACCCAGAGUCCGGUUCUUCCAUUGGCUAGCCAGCCAGGACCGGUGCUGGACAGCAGAACGGCUGGCCCGACGCGGCCUGCAACACCACCCCAGAUGCCUCCUCUGCGAUCAAGCGCCGGAGACCAUCCAGCACCUGCUCCUGGCCUGCCCAUUCGUGCGGCAAACCUGGCAUGCCAUCCUGGACUGGACACGCAUUCCAGCACAGCCACCACACAAUGAGCCCUCACUUACAGACUGGUGGCAGCGAACGAAGGGGCAGACACCGGACGCGCUGCGCAAAGGAUUGCAGUCCAUAGCCAUGCUAGUCCCUUGGAUGAUCUGGAAGCAGCGGAAUGAAUGCGUCUUCGAAAACGCGCGACCAUCGAUAGAAGCAUUAGUGGAUAGGAUUAAAAUUGAAGCCAAAUGUUGGGCACAAGCCGGGGCACAGGGGCUCAGGGUAGUCCUGCCCACAUCCUGGGACGUCCACUGA
rnacentral:rRNA from 1 species